rnacentral:lncRNA from 1 species
AUUUAAUAAUUCUGUUGACCUUAUACCUACUACAACUUCUCUGACUUCUGAAUUAAUAGUCAAAGCAAGUAAAAUCUAUGUUUACUAUAUGUGGUACUUAAAAAUAUGGACGAUUGCUUUUGUUGUCGUUUGUUUGUUUCGUUUUAGGGCCGCACUUGAGGCUUAUGGAAGUUCCCACUCCGAUUCGNAAAAAAAAAAAAAAAAAAAAAAAAAAAGAAUAUAUGAGAUUACAAGUAUAUAUGAUCUAAAUCUAGCAGUUGAAAGUAAUAGGCGUAUUUCAAUAAAGCACUAAAUUAUAAGGCUCAGAAUUAAGUCUUAAAUAAAUGACAGUCACCUUUAGCUUUUGAAUACUAUCUCUUAAGUGUAGCCUUUUUCUCAUAAUUAAAAAGAGUAAGAUGCUAAUUCUAAUAACACUGGCAAUCCACUUUCAAUUUUAAUUUAACCUAAUUUCUUUUCUUAUCUAGUAUUAUGCUGGGCAAGUAGGGAGGAGAAUUAGUCUUAAAAAAUGGACCCAGGUCCUGCUUAUUAAAUUGUGAUUAAAGAUCUGAAGUGCACCAUGAAACGUAGCUUCCAGAAGAGACGUGGGAACUGGAAAGAAGCUGGCCCAUAAUGUGGCAGGUGGGAGGAGCAGGAUGGAGAGAUCCAAAGGAAAAUCUUAGAGACUGCCAGUGAGAGCCCUGCAGGGGGAUCUGGAAUUCUCUACUCAUGCUGCUUCUUCAGUUGUGAUGGGGAAGAAAACUGAGAAAUGCCCUUGAAAUGUCCUUAUUUGGGUGGCAAAAAUGAUACCUCAUGGGUUGUGGUAAAUUCCGGAUAUUGAGAAGUGAACUUUCAAAUUACAGCCUCUUAAAUGAGGGCAGCUUGUUUUAGGUUUUGUAACCAUUUUUACAGGCAUCUCUUUUGUGAUAACGACAAUGAUGAUGAGGGUAGUGAUUUUUGUCUGGCCUGAUUUCCACCUGCUCAUAACUAACUCCAUGUCAACCUGGAGAGGGUCUGAAGGGCUAAGGAUUUUGCUCACUCUUUUUUUUAGGUUUGGUAAGAAUUUAGAUGAAGGAAGAAAAAUCAUUAUAAAUUCUGCUACUAAUACAUUAUACAGUAUACAGAGAAUUAAUGAGCUCAGACAUGCUAGCAAGCCUGUUAGGGAACAUGUUCCAAAGUUAAUUAUGUAGAAUAUGAAGAGCAACAGCCUUCUUGAAAAGAUGAAAAUAAGGGAAAUUGGGGGAUCUAAGGUCAGUCUAUGUGAUGUACUAAAUUCUGCAUUAAACAGGUCGCAUGGCAACCUGUGAUGUCUCCAGUGUUCCGGGUCACCACUUCUGCAGCUGUGUAGAUACCGGCCGAAUUCAAAUGGUUGGCAGAUAAUGCACUGGACUUAGGUACUGUUUACACAUGAGGACGCCUUUCUGGUUUGAGACUGUUGCCUCACUUUGAGUCACUGUCUAUGGUGCUAGGUCUUUGCUUUUGUUUAGGCUCCAUGUCCUGCCCCUCCCCCCCACACCAUCUGAUUGACAGGCUCUUUGUCCUAUGUUUUGGUCCACACUACCAAAUGUGCAGGGCUCGCGAAAGGCUUGGUCUUCCUGUCUCUCUUGCCUGUCCACUUUAGAAUGAUGCUCUGUCUUGGGCUUUCUCCUGGAUCUCUCAUGGCUGGGCAGAAGUUCCAGAGCAGGCUCAGGGUCCCCUUUGUUGGUACCCAGAAAGAAUGGGGAGGGACCAAGCUUCCUGCUGUUCUCGCCUUUCAGACUCCCAAAGACUAGCUCAUAGACUGUUAAAGUAUAUGCAAUUAUAUUUCAUCCUAAAUGGUCAGGGCAAUAAAGGAAAAAAGAAAUUAAAGCUGUGGUUCACUUGAACUUCAAAUCCACUUGAAUUUCAAAAAGAACAAAUUCCUCAAGAUUGAGACCCAUGGAAGGAGGGGAUCCUUUGGAUAAUAUUCCCACCUACUUGGCCUUAGAUUCCCUUCCCCCCUUCUCCAUCGCCUUUGUUUCCUCCAUCCUAAAAUCUCUAUUCUCUGUGUGAAACACCCAGGAAGAGCUCCUGGGGUGGAGACGAGCAGUCUCGUAGCAUCCUAGGCUUCAGUGGUGGUGACAAGAAACAGUGAUGCUUACUGCCACUCAGACUUGCUGGCAGCAGUGGAGAGAAUUAGCUUCUGUCCCAUGGGUGCUGACAGGCUAGGGUUCUCGAAUCUGUUCCCUCUUUUCUAGUCCUGCCAGAGUGAGCUGUGGGACUUCUGAUUCUUUGUCAAGGGAUAUUUCACUGGAAAAUGCAGAAAUGAGGCCCAGAGAGGCUUAGUAACUUGCCCAGGGUCACAUAGCUGUGCUGUAUGCUGACCCAGGAGACAGGUUCCAGAAGCACAGCCCCUCCAGCUUUGUACUGGCUGCUUGUCAUUGUACCAUAGCGUCACUGGUUCAUGCCAUUUACCUAAGGAAUAACUGGUUCAGGGUAGACUUUUCUUCUCUGUUUUGAUAGAGGAAAGGAUUGCAGGCAAAAUACUAGUAACAAACGUGUGUUAUCUUGCAUUAUCACAUGAGACUACAGCAGAGGAUAUACUAAAACUGUCAACAUAAUGCAGUAUUCGGUCAGUGAAAAGAAGCAGUGUCUUUUUAUUUCUGAAAUGUUUAUUUUCACAAUGUUUGGAUUUUUUUUUUUUAAGAAAAGGUAAAUUUGCCACAUUAUCUUGGACUUAUCUAUCAACCAAAGAUAACUAUUUAUAAUAAACAAUUACACAUAAAUGUUGACAUUCUGCAGGGUCCUUAGGUUAUCUACACCCUCAUUUCUAGAGCAAGCAGUUCCAACACAGCCAGAAGAUAAUGCACAGGAGAAAUGGCCUGUUUCCAAGGAGUCACAUGGGCUUUUUGGCCUUCCCACAGUCUGCAGGGAAAGCUCCUCCCAGCAAUCAGGAUUUCGUGUGCCAGCCGUGCUCUUUGUACAGAUAUAUUGUCACUCAAUAUUUUGUAGGAAGCAUGUUUCCUGGGUUAAAACCUAGAGUUCUGGAGUUCCCGUCGUGGAACCCGACUAGCAUCCAUGAGGAUGUGGGUUCAAUCCCUGGCCUUGCUCAGUGGGUUAAGGAUCUGGCGUUGCCGUGAGCUGUGGUAUAGGUCACAGUGCAGCUCAGAUCCAAAAAAAAAAAAAAGACAGAGCGAGAGAAAGUUGCUAAGUGACUUGUCCAAGGCCACACAGUAAGUGGGUGGCCAAGCCAGCUUUAGAAAUGAGGAAUUCCUAAUUCUUGGUGAGGUAUAUUACCAGGCCACAAAUGAGUAGAAGAGCUAAGUGAUAUUUAUGUCUGGUGAUGAUGGAAACCUCAAGAGGGCUGGAUGUGCAUUCAGAAGAGUGGCUAUUUCCCUGUACUUAUUUAUACCUCCUGGGACUGAAAAAUUGGGAUGGCUCUUCCACAGUGACCAUCCUCUGCCUUCACUUUUGCAAAAAGCACUUUUUCCAAUGUCACUAAACAGCUCUGUGAAAGCCCUGUCAGAAAGCGCUGAAGUGUGUGACAUUUUCAAAACUUAAGAAAAUGUUUACCUUAUUUCCAGCUUGUAAUUAUAGCAGGAGAGUCUGGGAAGAUCUGAAACACCAACUCAGAAAGAGCCCAGGUGGAGUUCCUGUCGUGGCACAGUGGAUUGAGGACCUGGGGUAGUCACUGCAGUGACUUGGGUCGCUGCUAUAGCACGGGUUCAAUCCCUGGCCCUGGAACUUCCACUUACCACAGGAGUGGCCAAAAAAAAAGAGCCCAGGGCUUUGAGAUGAGACCUAGGUUUAUGUCCUGACUCAGAUGCUCAGAAACUGCAGGCCAUCUACCUGCCAGAGAGCCUCAGUUACUUCUUCUAUAAAAUGUAGGGAUUAGAUCACAAAGUAUCUGAUGUCACUGUUAUAAUUUCUUCACAUUUCUUUAUUGGAUCACUACGGAUCCCUUCUAGACAAGGUGUAGGUAGUUCCCCUCAGCCUGGACACAACCACUAGAACUUGCUUAUGUCAAUGUUAUAAUGUUAAUCUAGAGAGCUGUUCUCUGCUACUCCUUGAUUAGAAAUCACUGUCUGCCUGACUACUCUUACUAUUGGGAAAUGAUUCCUUAAAUUGUAGGCACAUAUUAUAGUGGUAAUUAGUGUGCUUCAUGUUCAUCUUCAUUAUAUUACUUUGAUAUCAUGCUUUGAUCAGGGUGCACUAAUUCAGGGCAUAAAGCACAAGUAGAAAUUAAGGUAGAGUCAGUCACUGUGACUUUGCCAGAGAAGUACUUGUCAAUUGAAACUGGGAAAAAAAAUAGCAAUUACAAGGCCCACUCCCACAUCAGACAAUGAUAUAAGAUAAAGGCAGUGGUGUAAGAUCCAGUCAAUACUGAAGCCAGAAAUUGUCCGAGCAUGGUACCUGGUAAGAUAAAAUUGCUCUGUAUCAUAGGUACAAUAAAAAGGUGUAGCAUCUUUUGCCCUGCUCUUCUUUUAAAGGAAUAGGUGAAGAGGGAACCAGGGUGAGCCAGGCAUGGUGCUGUUUCUCUUUGAGGCUCUCCCACUUAACCCUGACAAAAACUCCUGAUAGGUACGGAGGCCCUCACGUAAUGCUUAAAACAAUGCUGAGAGGUGUGUAUUAUUAUACCCAUUCAACAGAGAGGAGGCCGAGACAAAGAGACUAAGAGAUAGGGGAGGCUAAGAGAUUUCCCAGGAUCAUCCAGUUAGUGGGUAAGGAGGAAAGGAUUCAAAUGUGGCUCUGUCUGAUUCCCAAGCUCUAGCCCUUUCUAUGAACUCCCUUACCUCCCUCCGGGUCCCCCGCCCAUCACCUUUAGGAGGCUGUGGUGAAUGCAAGUUAAAAUCCAGAUAGGUCAUCAAAGCCCAUUUUCUCCCCCUGUUUCUUUUCUUAUUAAAAAAAAAAAAAUGUAUUAUAGCUGAUUCACAAUGCUGUCAAUUUCUGCUGUACAGCAAAAUGACCCAGUCAUACAUAUAUACACAUUCUUUUUCUAAUAUUAUCUUCCAUCAUGGUCUAUCCCAAGAGACUGGAUAUAGGUCCCUGUGCUGUACAGCAGGACCUCAUUGCUUAUCCAUUCGAAAUGGAAUCGUUUGCAUCGACUAACUCCAGCCUCCCAGCCCAUCCCACUCCUCCCCCUGCCCCCUAUUUUGAAGCCAGCCUUUUCUGCUUCUUCUGGGGUCAAGGCUCAGUGUCGCUGAGACUGCUAGGCUGCGAAAGGACCACCCCUGAUAUGUUGACAAGAAAUAAGCUUCUAAUCUGCAACACUUCUUUAUAUGGCCUGUCAGCUCAGAGCUCCUACCACAGAAGUAUUUCACAACAGGCCUGGCCACCUGAUCACAUUCCAGGCAGAGUUCAGCUUUCGUGGGCUGCAAUCCUUGGAAACCCUUAGGGUGACAAGUUAUUUGCUCUUUGUUUCAAUGCCACCAGUACUUAGUCCAUGGCCCUUUUUUUCCUCUCUGCUUCAAAGAAGUCAUAUUAUCUUCUGUCAUACAGCAGAGGUCAUUUCGCUUUGGGUCACGAUACAAAAUAAAUCACAAUACGGGGCAGCUAACUGUUCUAGUUCACUGUGGGCACACAAACACCACAGGGCACGAACUUGGUCAUUUUAGGUGGCAUGCCAUUGGGCCAACUAUGAAAAGAAUUUUUCAUUUGGUUUCUGUCCAGAGACCAUUUUGUGAAAUUUGGGUGAAUUUUGUCUCUCAGCUUGAGGGAAAGUCCACCCGUUUUGUUCUUCUUUCUGUCCCGCAGAGCAGGGCUGCUUCUCCUGUAAACCAUCUAGGGUGUGCCUGAAAAAGAUUAAGAUGGUCUGCAGGGGUGGGAGACCUUUCAUCAGAAUUUAUUACUGUUCAAAGCCUCCAUAAAGGCUCUCAUUCAACCCUGGCCUUUAUACUUCCACCCAUGAAAAUCGUUCAUACCGUGUCCAAUCUGAUGCAUUGUCUGUUCUUCAUGGAAUAUUCCAAACAAGACCACGGUGAACCAACUCCUUGCUGGGAGAAAAAGGGGAAGAUACAGGGACAGUCAAAAAACUAAAGUUUACUUUAAUACUUUCU